AUUGAACGCUGGCGGCAGGCCUAACACAUGCAAGUCGAACGGAAGAAGCGCUUUUGCUCCUUGCUUCAGCGGCGAACGGGUGAGUAAUGCCUAGGAAACUGCCUGGUGGCGGGGGGUUACGUCCGGAAAAGGGCGCUUAUUACGCAUACGUCCUGCGGGAGGAAGUGGGGGAUCUUGGGACUUCCCGCUAUCGGAUGAGCCUAGGUCGGUUUAGCUAGUUUGUGGGGUAAAGGCCUUCCAAGGCGGCUAUCCGUAACUGGGCUGAUAGGAGGAUCAGGGACACUGGAACUGAGACGCGGUCCAGGGUCCUACGGGAGGCAGCAGUGGGGAAUAUUGGACGAUGGGGGGAAGCCUGAUCCAGCCAUGCCGCGUGUGUGAAGAAGGUCUUCGGAUUGUAAAGCACUUUAAGUUGGGAGGAAGGGCAGUAAGUUAAUACCUUGCUUUUGUGACGUUACCAACAGAAUAAGCACCGGCUAACUUCGUG
rnacentral:rRNA from 1 species